UAUAUAGUUAGUCAGGUCCCCAGAGCAUCAAAAUUGAUUGAUAACUCCAUCAUGGGGCACACAUUUUCUAUCUAUAGGAUCCCAAGUUGGGAAGGACAAUGAUUGGAGAAAUUCAGAGCCCCUCUACAUUUGGUCAAACUAACUAAAACAGGUAAAAUUCCUAGACCAUGCCUUAGAGCCAGGCUUCCUGGUACACGUCAAACAGUAUAGAACCUGAUCUCCACUUUAGUUCAAAGACAGGAAUGGGCUGUCACAUUCGGUGUCUAGUACUGGUGUCAAAAUCCUGUAAGUUAUUCACCAGUAACACUGAUUUUCUUAUAUGAGUUGAUUAGAUUUGUACCACCUUUUACUGAUCUGUCAGCACAUUUUCUGUAGGUCAAUCAUCACUUGCUGGUGUUGCAUCAUGAAUAUUUUGGACCCAAAAUUCAUUCUGUUGUAGGGCAUUGUCCAAGGAUCAAAUAACUUUCUGAACUAAGGAUUCAAGGAUUAUAUGAAUUAUGACUGGAUCCUGAACAACCCCAGCCUAGGACAUGCCACAUCCUUGCUCCUUGGUACUGGAUCCAUUUGGUACUGAUUAAGCUUAUUAUUAUGGACACAGGGACAGCAGAGCCAGCAAACAAAAGGAGGGAUCUGAUCGACUUGAGCUCCCUGUGUGAUCUUGAAGGAAUAGACUAGCUUGCCGAGAAGAUUUCAGGAACCUCUGCCACAGUCCAGGCUCCAACUUAAACCUGUGAAGAUUAUUCUCCUUUUCUUAGCCAGAACAAGUUGGACAUAUAUAUUAUAUCGCUUCCACAAUGCUUAAGGCCAUCAUGAAAUGUGGGGCAGAGAGAAGGUAGGUGCCUGAAGUCACAGAGGAUUCAAGGAAAUCAGUGACUUCUGGAUAUGAGGAGUGCUGCCCUCAUGACAUAUAGCAGCUGUGGUUACAUGAACAGUUUCAAGACAGUCAACAGUCAAGAAUGCAGUGGAAAGUCACAAGAGCUCCUAAUCAUAACUAAAAUAUUAUGAAGAGUUAGUGUCUUCUGGUGGAUGGUUGAGCAAUUUUCUGUUAGGGUUUAUUAUGAGAUAAUUAAACAAUAAUUUAA
rnacentral:sRNA from 1 species